GGGGUUGUGGCUCAGCAGUAGAGCGCUCACCUAGCACGUGCGAAGCCUUGGGUUCGAUCCUCAGCAGCACAU
rnacentral:tRNA from 1 species